UACGUAGGGGGCUAGCGUUGUCCGGAAUCAUUGGGCGUAAAGCGCGUGUAGGCGGUCCGGUAAGUCCGCUGUGAAAGUCGGGGGCUCAACCCUCGGAUGCCGGUGGAUACUGUCGGGCUUGAGUACGGAAGAGGCGAGUGGAAUUCCUGGUGUAGCGGUGAAAUGCGCAGAUAUCAGGAGGAACACUAAUUGCGAAGGCAGCUCGCUGGGACGUUACUGACGCUGAGACGCGAAAGCGUGGGGAGCGAACAGG
rnacentral:rRNA from 1 species